CGAAAGCCUGACGGAGCAAGACCGCGUGCGGGAGGAAGGUCUAUUGACUGUAAACCGCUUUUGAUAGGGAAGAAGAUCUGACGGUACCUAUCGAAUCAGCAUCGGCUAACUCCGUGCCAGCAGCCGCGGUAAUACGGGGGAUGCAAGCGUUAUCCGGAAUUAUUGGGCGUAAAGCGUCCGUAGGUGGUUUUAUAAGUCUGUUGUCAAAGCGCGAGGCUUAACCUCGUACAGGCAGUGGAAACUAUAAGACUAGAGUGCGGUAGGGGUAGAGGGAAUUUCCAGUGUAGCGGUGAAAUGCGUAGAUAUUGGGAAGAACACCAGUGGCGAAGGCGCUCUACUGGGCCGUAACUGACGCUGAGGGACGAAAGCUAGGGGAGCG
rnacentral:rRNA from 1 species